CUACGGGAUGCACCAGUAAGGAAUAUUGCGCAAUGGAGGCAACUCCGACGCAGCCAUGCCGCGUGCAGGAAGAAGGCCUUAUGGGUCGUAAACUGCUUUUAUUUAGGAAUAAACCCCCGAACGUGUUCGGGGCUGAAGGUACUAAACGAAUAAGCACCGGCUAACUCCGUGCCAGCAGCCGCGGUAAUACGGAGGGUGCAAGCGUUAUCCGGAUUUAUUGGGUUUAAAGGGUGCGCAGGCGGGCUAUUAAGUCAGUGGUGAAAUCCCGGGGCUCAACUCCGGAACUGCCAUUGAUACUGAUAGUCUUGAGUUUGGUUGAAGUGGGCGGAAUGUAGCAUGUAGCGGUGAAAUGCAUAGAUAUGCUACAGAACACCAAUCGCGAAGGCAGCUCACUAAGCCAAAACUGACGCUCAUGCACGAAAGCGUGGGGAUCAAACAGGAUUAGAUACCCGGGUAGUC
rnacentral:rRNA from 1 species